GCCCGGCCGGAACUGUGGCGUGCGGGACGUGGCCAGUCGAUCGGGAGCGUACCCGAGUCCCCCCGAGCGGGGCCCAUCCCAUAGCGGGUGCCAGGCCUCUGCAGGUACGCAUCCGACCGGCCGCUACCGUCCCCGGAGUCGGGUCGCUUGGGAAUGCAGCCCGAAGCGGGUGGUAAACUCCACCUAAGGCUAAAUACCGGCGCGAGUCCGAUAGCGGACAAGUACCGCGAGGGAAAGUUGAAAAGAA
rnacentral:rRNA from 1 species